GACGAACGCUGGCGGCGUGCUUAACACAUGCAAGUCGAACGGAAAGGCCCUGCUUUUGUGGGGUGCUCGAGUGGCGAACGGGUGAGUAACACGUGAGUAACCUGCCCUUGACUUUGGGAUAACUUCAGGAAACUGGGGCUAAUACCGGAUAGGAGCUCCUGCUGCAUGGUGGGGGUUGGAAAGUUUCGGCGGUUGGGGAUGGACUCGCGGCUUAUCAGCUUGUUGGUGGGGUAGUGGCUUACCAAGGCUUUGACGGGUAGCCGGCCUGAGAGGGUGACCGGCCACAUUGGGACUGAGAUACGGCCCAGACUCCUACGGGAGGCAGCAGUGGGGAAUAUUGCACAAUGGGCGGAAGCCUGAUGCAGCAACGCCGCGUGCGGGAUGACGGCCUUCGGGUUGUGAACCGCUUUCGCCUGUGACGAAGCGUGAGUGACGGUAACGGGUAAAGAAGCACCGGCUAACUACGUG
rnacentral:rRNA from 1 species